UACGUAGGGACCGAGCGUUGUCCGGAAUCAUUGGGCGUAAAGAGCGUGUAGGCGGCCACUUAAGUCCUGCGUGAAAUCUUGCAGCUCAACCGCAAGCGGUCGUGGGAAACUGGGUGGCUAGAGUGCGGGAGAGGUGAGUGGAAUUCCGAGUGUAGAGGUGAAAUUCGUAGAUAUUCGGAAGAACACCAGUGGCGAAGGCGGCUCACUGGACCGGCAUUGACGCUGAGGUGCGAAAGCGUGGGGAGCAAACAGGG
rnacentral:rRNA from 1 species